UCAGGCCUAACACAUGCAAGUCGAACGGUAACGCGGGGCAACCUGGCGACGAGUGGCGAACGGGUGAGUAAUGUAUCGGAACGUGCCCAGUAGUGGGGGAUAGCCCGGCGAAAGCCGGAUUAAUACCGCAUGAGACCUAAGGGUGAAAGCGGGGGAUCGUAAGACCUCGCGCUAUUGGAGCGGCCGAUAUCAGAUUAGGUAGUUGGUGGGGUAAAGGCCUACCAAGCCGACGAUCUGUAGCUGGUCUGAGAGGACGACCAGCCACACUGGGACUGAGACACGGCCCAGACUCCUACGGGAGGCAGC
rnacentral:rRNA from 1 species